AUUGAACGCUGGCGGCAGGCCUAACACACGCAAGUCGAGCGGAUGAAGGGAGCUUGCUCCUGGAUUCAGCGGCGGACGGGUGAGUAAUGCCUAGGAAUCUGCCUGGUAGUGGGGGAUAACGUCCGGAAACGGGCGCUAAUACCGCAUACGUCCUGAGGGAGAAAGUGGGGGAUCUUCGGACCUCACGCUAUCAGAUGAGCCUAGGUCGGAUUAGCUAGUUGGUGGGGUAAAGGCCUACCAAGGCGACGAUCCGUAACUGGUCUGAGAGGAUGAUCAGUCACACUGGAACUGAGACACGGUCCAGACUCCUACGGGAGGCAGCAGUGGGGAAUAUUGGACAAUGGGCGAAAGCCUGAUCCAGCCAUGCCGCGUGUGUGAAGAAGGUCUUCGGAUCGUAAAGCACUUUAAGUUGGGAGGAAGGGCAGUAAGUUAAUACCUUGCUGUUUUGACGUUACCAACAGAAUAAGCACCGGCUAACUUCGUG
rnacentral:rRNA from 1 species